rnacentral:lncRNA from 1 species
CUUAAGAGGGCAUGAGAUAGUUGAGGUGGGUAUCUGAAAUUGGAACACGUUAGCCUUGGUCAGUCACGCGUCCACACCUCCUGCCUACAACGCUCAGCACCUCACCGACAGCCUCCUCUACCUAUAUCUCUAGAUUUUUCCGUCACUUGCAUGCCAACCAUACUCCUUUAGUUCUCAGAACCAGAGGUUACACCCACUAAUCUCGUCAGCAUCCACCUAAAACCCAAACCACCUUUCCUACCCAACCUUGCCAAGAACGAAGAAACCAGCCAUGGCAACGGGUUAGAAGCCACUGAAGUCCCUAUCUUUUUCUGUUGCCGAGUGUAGAAGCUUGGGCUUUGGAAAUUAGACUGAGAUCGGUUCCCUCCUAAGGUUUGGAAUUGGGGAGAAGUAGAGAAUUGGAGCUGGAGUUAAUCGAAAGUCUUUGUCAGCUGAAAGGUGGAAUUGUGCAGUACAUAAAUUGAGGAAGAAGGUUUCUGGGUGAAGGUAGUGUUGACGGCAACUGACCAAAUUGAGUGACCCAGGCUUAAUCAACGACGGUGAUAACUCGGAGAUUGCCUAAGCAUGGAUUCCAGGAACUGAGCAGGAGCUAGCUGAGGACCAGACUUAGACACUAGGGUGUUGGCAUCGUCAAGUUGUGUAUAUCUUCUUUUGGACUUGACUGUUGGUUUGGCAGGUGUUGAUCGGUCUCCCUUCUUUUGAAAUUGUGAUUGUGACUUGGUUUUGUUGUGGGAACCUUGUAAAUUUGUUAUUAUCCGCCUGCCUAUCUUUUGGUGUGUGUUACUUAGCGUGAAUCUGAAACCCGAACCUUGGACUCAUGGCUUUUGUGGAAUGUAAAUAAAGUACUCUUUUGUUGUAAAAUCUUUACGCUUCCGAAUCGUACUCUCAACCUCAAUCGUAAACGUUUUCUCACCACAAUUCUAAAAGGCCUUGCAAGCUUUUGUGGCAUGGAUUUGUGGCACAAGCUGCAGACUCAUGUUCAGAGGCUUGCGGCGCUGUAACGUAAUCCUUCCGGGGCGU